UAGGGCACAGAGCGCGCUCUCUUUGUGUCUCCAAACCAGAGGCACUUGCUGGGACUGGAAAGGGUCCGCCUUCCACCUUCUCCAGGGCUGCCCGAAGGGGCGCACUGUGCUUUGCCCCAGACAUGGAGUAAGUGAAAGAUUUAGGUCAAAACCACUAACCACCUAUGUGCUGACUCUGAACACCUAAACCAAUCAAAGAAAGGUAAAUUGGAUAGUCUUUGGCCUAUGUGUUAGUUAAAGGCAAAAUGAUUUAUGAGAAAAAUAAAUACCAGGGCUAAAAUAUAUACAAAAAAUAUAACUAGUAUUCAAGCCUGUUGUGUGUGUGUGUGUGUGUGUUAGUCAAAAGAGAAGAUGAUAACCUGUAUAUUUUGGUGUGAGCAGUAUUCACACAAAUCUGAGGU